AGUUGGUGGGGUAAUAGCCUACCAAGCCAAUGACGGGUAGCCGGUGUGAGAGCACGACCGGCCACAAGGUCACUGAAACACGGUGCCUACACCUACGGGUGGCAACACGCCGGGAAUAUGGCCCCAAUGGGCGAAAGCCUGACGCAGCGACCCCCGCGUGUGGGAAGAAGCUAUUUCGGAACUGAAACCCACUGUGGCACGGGAAGAAUUUUUGACGGUACCUUGCUAGAAAGCACCUGCUAACUACGUGCCAGAAGCCUCGGUAAUACGUAGGGUGCAAGCGUUAUCCGGAUUAAUUGGGCGUAAAGAGUUCCGCAGGCGUCUUAACAAGUUUCUUGUUUAAGCCUUGAGGCUCAACUUCAGAAAAGCAAGAAAAACUGUAAAGAUUGAGUUUGUUUGGGGAAGCUGGAAUUCUCGGUGGAGGGGUGAAAUCCGUAGAUAUCGAGAGGAACACCAAUCGCGAAGCCAAGCUUCUAAAACAAUACUGACGCUAAGGGACGAAAGCUUGGGUAGCAAAAGGGAUUAGAGACCCCUGUAGUCCAAGCCGUAAACUUUUCCUCGCUAGUUGCCUGGUUAAUAAUGCAU
rnacentral:rRNA from 1 species